GGAGGAAAGUAGGGGAUCGCAAGACCUUACGCUUUUGGAGCGGCCGAUGUCUGAUUAGCUUGUUGGUGAGGUAAAGGCUUACCAAGGCUUCGAUCAGUAGCUGGUCUGAGAGGACGACCAGCCACACUGGGACUGAGACACGGCCCAGACUCCUACGGGAGGCAGCAGUGGGGAAUUUUGGACAAUGGGGGAAACCCUGAUCCAGCCAUGCCGCGUGAGUGAAGAAGGCCUUCGGGUUGUAAAGCUCUUUCAGCCGGAACGAAACGGUUACGAUUAAUACCUGUAACUACUGACGGUACCGGAAGAAGAAGCACCGGCUAACUACGUGCCAGCAGCCGCGGUAAUACGUAGGGUGCGAGCGUUAAUCGGAAUUACUGGGCGUAAAGCGUGCGCAGGUGGUUUUGUAAGUCAGAUGUGAAAUCCCCGGGCUUAACCUGGGAACUGCGUUUGAAGCUACAAGGCUAGA
rnacentral:rRNA from 1 species